UCUGCUCAUCAGCCUCACUGUACGACAGUGCCUUAGCAUCAUUAGUUAAUGUAAUUGCAUGGCUGAACGUGACUGGGCACCUCGUUAACAUCAGUAUCAACAAGCAUGUCAUGGGAGAGGGUAUAGGAGCUGUAAGCAGGAUAGAGGGGUCAACAGGGCCUCUCGGAGGAGAAAGGUGAUACGAUGCACAUCAUGCCAACUCAAGUCUUGACUUCCACAUGACUUAUUACCAGAGACCCUGUUCCAGAGGACUGGACCGUGUACCUUAGGUGACCUGCAGAGCACUCUGUGAUCUGGAGAAGAAAGCCAGGCUUAAAUGCACCAGAGGGUGGGGGACCACAGGCCCAGCCCAGUGUCCAUCUCCCACCCAGGCCCCCAUGUAACCCCUACCCUACUGAUGGUCCGGGGAAUCGUGGCCAUACAGGCCCCCCGAAGCAGUCUUCAGCCUUACAGUGACAACAACACUACAGCCUACAGUGCUAUCUGGGACCCAGUUGCGUGCUCUGUGAUGAGGCUACUACGGUGUAGAGGUUGUGCCUUCUAGAAUCCCUCUUCCUCGUCUGCUGCUGUGGUGGAAGCUGGGAUCCAGCACCCACAGGACCCCACCCUGGACCAGGACUGCGUUAGUCAAAACAUGUGGUGCUGCUGAAGCACCUACCAGAAGCUCACCUUCUGGUAGGCCUGGGAAUGAGGGGUCAGCCAAAUCACCCACGUCUGUCAAGAUUUCAUUUUUUUUUGUUUAUGUUUUUUUUAACCUUUUAUUUAACUAGGCAAGUCAGUUUAAGAACAAAUUCUUAUUUUGAAUGAUGGUCUAGAAACAGUGGGUUAACUGCCUUUAUUCAGGGGCAGAAUGGCAGAUUUUUACCUUGUCAGCUCAGGGAUUCGAUCUUGCCACCUUUCAGUUACAAGUCCAACGCGAGGCUACCUGCCGCCUAUUAUAUUUAUUUUGUUCUAUAUAUUUGUUAUAUUUAUUGUCAAGAAAAAUGAUUUAGAUGUGGUCCAUGUCUGAAUGUGGUUGCGAAAUUAAAGCUUGACUUACCAUCAGUUGGUGUGUCUGAUAUUCCUUCAGGGUCUCGGAGAGGGUCCUCAGUAUCACCAUCACAAAUGAUGCCAGACACUGAGGUCUCUCAAAUUAUGCUGCCAAUGCACAGGUCCAUAGCAGACAGUGAAAAGUCACUCUGCCCUCCUACUGUUGCACUUAUAUCCCUUUUGUGGAUCAUCAUGUUUUUGUUGUUGAAGAUUUUAAAUCAAACCAUUUAUUUUUAAUUUCAUUUACUGUUCACUCAAGUGAGGCAGAUUUGACCACAGCUCUAACUUGCUCCCAAGCAUUGCUGAGGGCUCCAAAACGUAUGGCUUGUUUUGCUUCCACUUCGGUGAUAAAAAGUUAUAUUUCUGUGUCCGAAAAGUUUUUUUUCUUCUUUGAUUUCUCCAUGUUGGCUGACAGAAAUUUGACAUUUCUUGCAGCUUCAACGGGAAGGUUUGUGAGCAUAAAUGGUCAUUUAGGAGGUUCUUUAUGUAAAUGAGACUGUACGUGCACUAGCACAGUGUUUUAGAAUGUCUGAUUUAUCAAGGCAAAAUACUCACAGGUGUGUGUUAGUCAAGCGUACGAGCAAUUGAUAAAUGCCAACUUUUUUGUACUUGCGAACAUUCUACAUUUUCUUUGAGUUCCUUUUAGAAGCUUUUCUAUGCAACAUUGAUAAAUGAGGGGCCCUGGGGAAAUCUUGAUUCUACCUGGAUUUUGUUGGAGAGGCUUCCAUUAAAGAACACCCACCCUUAGACAUGUAACUCUUUAUCCACAAUAUAGCAGGGGGUGUAAAGCCAUAACGCCUACAAUUUUACAGCAACAGACUAUGAUUGAUAAUGUCAAAGCCGCACUGAAGUCUAACAAAACAGCCCUCACAAUCUUUUUAUCAUCAAUUUCGCUCAGCCAGUCAUCAGUCAUUUGUGUAAGUGCUGUGCUUGUUCAAUGACUUCCCUAUCAGUGUGCUGAUUGUCUGACUAUUUGUUUACUGUAAAAUAGCAUUGUAUCUGGUCAAACACACAUUUUUCCAGAUGUUUACAAAGGGUUGGUAACUAGAUUUUGUUUUUUAAAUUGAACUGUUAUUUAACUAGACAAGUCAAAUUCUUAUUUACAAUGACUGCAUACCCCGGACUACACUGGGCCAAUUUUGCGCUGCCCUAUGGGACUCCCAAUCAUGGCCGGAUGUGAUGCAGCCUGGAUUCGAACCAGGGACUGUAGUGACACCUCUUGCACUGAGCUACAGUGCCUUAGAUUUCUGCGCCACUCGGAAGCCUCACAAGCUGAUUGGUUGGCUAUUUGAGCCAGUAAAGGGGUCUUUACUAUCCUUAGGUAGGUGAAUAACUUUUACUUCCCUCCAGGCCUGAGUGAACACACUUUCUAGGAGGCUUAAAUUAAAGAUGUGGCAAUAUUGUCCGCUAUUAUCUUAAAUAAGUAAUUUUUGUUACCAAGUUGUCAUACCCCGGUGACUUGUCAUUGAUAGAUGAUUUUUUUCAGUUCUUCCACACUUCAUGGAAUUCUAAAUUAAAAUGCGUGUCUUUCAGAAUUUGGUCAGAUAUAUUUGGGAUUGAGAUUGCCUGCAAUGACAACAAGCUCAGUCCGAUGAUGCUGUGACACACUGCCCCAGACCAUGACGGACCCUCCACCUCCAAAUCGAUCCCACUCCAGAGUACAGGCCUCGGUGUAACGCACGUUCCUUCGACGAUAAACACGAAUCCGACCAUCACCCCUGGUGAGACAAAACCGUGACUUGUCAGUGAAGUGCACUUUUUGCCAGUCCUGUCUGGUCCAGCGACUGUGGGUUUGUGCACAUAGGCGACCUUGUUGCCGGUGAUGUCUGGUGAGGACCUGCUUUACAACAGGCCUACAAGCCCUCAAUCCAGCCUCUCUCAGCCUAUUGCUUACAGUUUGAGCACUGAUGCAGGGAUUGUGCGUUUCUGGUGUAACUCGGGCAGUUGUUGUUGCCAUCCUGUACCUGUCCCGCAGGUGUGAUGUUCGGAUGUACCAAUCCUGCGUAGGUGUUUUUACACACAUGGUCUGCCACUGCGAGGACGAUCAGCUGUCCAUCCUGUCUCCCUGUAGCGCUGUUUUAGGCGUCUCACAGUACAGACAUAGGCAUGCUGCAAUAAAUUGCUAAGGCACAUUCACGCAGAUGAGCAGAGACCCUGGGCAUCUUACUUUUGGUGUUUUUCAGAGUCAGUAGAAAGUCCUCUUAGUGUCCUAAGUUUUCAAAACUGUGACCUUAAUUGCCUACCGUCUGUAAUCUGUUUGGGUCUUAACGACCGUUCCACAGGUGCAUAUUCAUUGAUUAUGGUUCAUUGAACAAGCAUGGGAAACUGUGUUUAAACCCUAUCGAAUGAGGAUCUGUGAAGUUAUUUGGAUUUUUUAAAACAAAUUCUUUAAGACAGUGUCCUGAAAAAGGGACAUUUCUUUUUUUGUUGAGUUAAAAGAUUUUUUUUUUUUUUUUACCCCCUUUUCUCCCCAAUUUCGUGGUAUCCAAUUGUUAGUAACUACUAUCUUACCUCAUCUUUACAACUCCCGUAUCGGCUCGGGAGAGACUAAGGUCGAAAGCCAUGCUUCCUCCGAAACACAAUCCAACCAAGCCUUCACAGCGCCCAUCCAACCCGGAAGCCAGCCGCACCAAUGUGUUGGAGGAAACACUGUGCACUGCGCCUGGCCCGCCACAGGAGUCGCUGUGCGUGACGAGACAAGGAUAUCCUUACCGGCCAAACCCUCCCUAACCCGGACGACGCUAAGCCAAUAUUUAACAUUUUAGCCGCCUUUUAAGCAUUCUAAGUACAGUUAAAUAGUUAGACCGCUGCAUACGUGUGUGUGUGUGUGUGUGUUAAGGCACUGCAUCUCGGUGCUAGAAUAUUAUGGUUUUGCGCCGUUAUUGACUUGAUAAAUACAGACUCUGUAUAUUUGGGAAAUGUUGGAACUUGGCCAUGAUGACAGUUUCUAAAAGAAAGCACCAAUGGUAAAUUUGAUCUCAUUUCUGUGUAGAGGUGUAGGGAGAAUGUUUUUAUAUUGUACGGUGACUUUUUCAAACUAAACAUGCAUGUGCCAAACACUGGUCACGCAUUCUGCAAUUAAAUGCUACAGCCCACACGUCUAUGCAAAAACAAACUCUUGUUAAAUGUUACAUUUUCGAUAUAUGAUUGUUUUUCUGUCUCCUGCUUUGGUACAGGCUCUGAGAUUUAAUAUGCUGAUGUCAUGCUCCUAUCACACAGCAGUACUGUAACCUACCAACAUAUUUUUAAUAGGAUACUGGUCUAUUUACUUUCAAUCAGGCUUGAAUGAAUAAAUGGUCAUAUUUGUUGUAUAGUAGCAGGAAUAAAACCAUGUUAGAAAAGGAGAGACUUAUCCUGCAGUAUGAUUUUGAUUUAUAUAAUGAAAUAAACAUAUUAGCUUAGGCCUACAAGCCCAGUUAUGGGAUCUCCUUGCCAACAGCAAAUGCAUAUAUUUUAAAUUUAAGUUUAUUUUUUAUUACCAUUUCAUUUCUUCCAUGCGAGUCAACAAAUACCUACAUUUCCCCAAAAUAACAGUAUUUACAUGCAAUACAAUUCUUUAACCACUAUACGUUGUGCGUACUCAUGGUUUGAGGUGUUUGUGGAAAUACGCCCAAAUUCCCAUCAAGUUCAAAUUUGAUAAAUCCCUAACUUUGGAGGAAAACUGGACCACACAAGGUUGACUUUUUUUUGUGCUUACGCACCUUUGAUAAAUGAGGCCCCAGGUGUGGAAUAGUCUGUUUAUUGAAGGUGGCUAAUCCAUGUAAUCUGUCUGUUAUAGCUACUUGACAUGGCGUGGCCUGCAUCCAGGUUUUUACAGCCAGAAAACAGAAUAAAAAAGCUUAUCGGCUGUAGAAAAUAAGAUUGGGGAUUUAGACUAAUCUUCUAUCAAUGGUCUUGUGAAAAAAUUGGUAAAAAAUACAGUAUUGUAGAACUAACCACAGACAGUUUUUCCAUGUCAAAGAAAAUUCAGAGUUUUCCUGUUUUAUUGAAAUUAAAUGGAGCAUAUUGUAGAAUAAAUAGAAUAUCUAAUAAAAUAACAGACAAAAUAGUUAAGUAGUUUAUUUGAUAAUUGUGGACCUUGUCUGUGUGAAUGCCCCUGGAUAACCCUACCAUACAGGAGUGAGGUGGCUGAGGAUGGAUUAAUGCCCGUUCAUAUUGCUCUCCUGCUGUCUCAGGAAACAAACUAUGCAUCAAGUUUUUUUAGAUUAAGGAUCCUCCUUCCCUGAAAAAUGGUAGUCGCAAUCACACUUAUCUUAUUAGUGAGCUUACGGAGUAAACUCCCUAAGAGGAGCCCAAACAGAGGAUGUCUAUACCAAGAUCAGGCUACUUAUGAAAUGGCACAGGCAGAUUAGGUGUCUAAUUCCAUGGAAUCUCUAAUAUAAAUCUUGGGAUUAUUAGGGUUUAUUGGCCCAUGGGCUUCAAACCUAUGACCCAAGCCAAGAUCUAGCGGCUCUGGCAGCUGUGCAUGCAGACAGAUUGCAAAAGGCCCUUAACAACUUAGAGAUGAUGAUCCAACCCCACAGACCCAGCUAUCCAGAUCAGCCACUUUAUUAUAAAUUACACCAUUUUCAUUGGCCGACCAGGACAAUGUGAAACACCAGACAUGUUUUGAGAAUUUUACCAAUUAGUUAGGGAAAGCAAAUGUAUGAGUUUUUUCCACACUAAGGACCAGCAAUUACAAUUCAAAGUUAGCCUAUUUUUGUAUCAAACAAAUUUUCUAAAUUAAAAGUUGACUCAACAUUUUCUCUAGCAGCAGAAAACAGAAUUUAGUUGCGGAUUUGACAAUUGAUUGAAGAUUAUCAGUCUAAUUCCAGUCUAAAUCUUUUUCAGCCAAUAAGCGUUUUAAUUCUGUUCUAUGGGGAGUGUAAACCUGGAUCCACGCCAUGUCAAUAUGUCAGUAUAACAGAAAGAUUACAGACAGACAGAUUAAAUCAAAUGUAUUUAUAUCACCCUUCGUACAUCAGUUGAUAUCUCAAAGUGCUGUACAGAAACCCAGCCUAAAACCCCAAACAGCAAGCAAUGCAGGUGUAGAAGGUGUAUCAGCCACUUAUAAUUAGACAUAUUUGACAACGUGAAACUGUUUUCACAAUAAAUUCCAGAGCUUCUUUUAAUCGAAAUUUGAAGCCAAAAACCCUCCAAUAACACCUUUGUCGAAAUGCAAUCGUUUAAGUCUGACACAGCAAUUCUAGAUAUCAGCAGCCUGCUUUUCUCGACCAUUCAUUGUUACCCAGAUAGAGGUCCCUGAGACAGAAGUCUACUGAAUAACUCUACUCUACCAGCAUUUGGCUGGUAAUUGAUUGGUCUUUAUUAUGAGCUGAACAGUGAACUAUCAUCCCCUACCAUUCAAUCAGUACUAUUAAUCGGCUCAUUGGAGAGAAUGGAGAAUUAAUUUACUCUACCCUUAAUCAAUCUUAAUAAAUCAAUACGAUUGACCUGUUGAAGUGGCUUGGUUGGUUCUGGGUACACUUUCUCUUCUGUAGACACUGUACAUACUGUGUCUUUUUGGAAUGACUGCUUCAAAAAGGCAAAUUCAUUACGAUUCAUUCAUAUAAUUGUGUGGAUAAAAUUUCAGCUAUAUGUGAUUCAUACAGUGCCUGACGAAAGUAUUCACAACCAUUAACUUUUUCCACAUUUUGUGUUACAGCCUGAAUUUAAAAUGAAUAAAAUAGAGAUGUUGUGUCACUGGCCUACACAUAAUACCCCAUAGUGUCAGAGUCUGGGGCGGCAGCAUAGCCUAGUGGUUAGAGCGUUGGACUAGUAGGGUUGCGAGUUCAAACCCCCGAGCUGACAAGGUAC